UUAGAUCGCAGUCUGCAACCCGACUGCGUGAAGUCGGAAUCGCUAGUAAUCGCGGAUCAGCAUGCUGCGGUGAAUACGUUCCCGGGCCUUGUACACACCGCCCGUCACACCAUGAGAGUCGGGAACACCCGAAGUCCGUAGCCUAACCGCAAGGGGGGCGCGGCCGAAGGUGGGUUCGAUAAUUGGGGUGAAGUCGUAACAAGGUAGC
rnacentral:rRNA from 1 species